rnacentral:rRNA from 1 species
GAUGAACGCUGGCGGCGUGCCUAAUACAUGCAAGUCGAGCGAACAGACGAGGAGCUUGCUCCUCUGACGUUAGCGGCGGACGGGUGAGUAACACGUGGAUAACCUACCUAUAAGACUGGGAUAACUUCGGGAAGCCGGAGCUAAUACCGGAUAAUAUAUUGAACCGCAUGGUUCAAUAGUGAAAGACGGUUUUGCUGUCACUUAUAGAUGGAUCCGCGCCGCAUUAGCUAGUUGGUAAGGUAACGGCUUACCAAGGCGACGAUGCGUAGCCGACCUGAGAGGGUGAUCGGCCACACUGGAACUGAGACACGGUCCAGACGCCUACGGGAGGCAGCAGUAGGGAAUCUUCCGCAAUGGGCGAAAGCCUGACGGAGCAACGCCGCGUGAGUGAUGAAGGUCUUCGGAUCGUAAAACUCUGUUAUUAGGGAAGAACAAAUGUGUAAGUAACUAUGCACGUCUUGACGGUACCUAAUCAGAAAGCCACGGCUAACUACGUG